rnacentral:rRNA from 1 species
GACGUAGGGCGCGAGCGUUGUCCGGAUUUAUUGGGCGUAAAGAGCUCGUAGGCGGCUCGUUGCGUCGGCUGUGAAAACCCGCAGCUCAACUGUGGGCUUGCAGCUGAUACGGGCGGGCUGGGAUUCGGUAGGGGAGACUGGAAUUCCUGGUGUAGCGGUGAAAUGCGCAGAUAUCAGGAGGAACACCGGUGGCGAAGGCGGGUCGUCUGGGCCGAUAUCGACGCUGGAGGAGCGAAAGCGUGGGGAGCGAACAGG